rnacentral:rRNA from 1 species
GACAGAGGGUGCAAGCGUUGUUCGGAAUUACUUGGCGUAAAGCGAGUGUAGGCGGUCCGAUAAGUCGGGUGUGAAAGCCCUGGGCUCAACCCAGGAAGUGCACUCGAAACUGCCGGGCUAGAGUAUCGGAGAGGUUGGUGGAAUUCUCGGUGUAGAGGUGAAAUUCGUAGAUAUCGAGAGGAACACCGGUGGCGAAGGCGGCCAACUGGACGAAUACUGACGCUGAGACGCGAAAGCGUGGGGAGCAAACAGG